rnacentral:rRNA from 1 species
GAUGAACGCUGGCGGUAUGCUUUACACCUGCAAGUCAUACGGAAGUUAGUUUCGGCUAACUUCAGUGGCGGACGGGUGAGUAACACGUGAGAAUUCGCCUUUAGGAGGGGGAUAACAGGGGGAAACACCUGCUAAAACCCCAUAUGCCUUCGGGUCAAAAGAGAACUCUGCCUAAAGAGAAGCUCGCGGCUGAUUAGCUAGUUGGUGGGGUAAAGGCCUACCAAGGCGACGAUCAGUAGCUGGUCUGAGAGGAUGAGCAGCCACACUGGAACUGAGACACGGUCCAGACGCCUACGGGAGGCAGCAGUGAGGAAUUUUCUGCAAUGGGCGAAAGCCUGACAGAGCAAUACCGCGUGAGGGAAGAAGGCUUACUGAGUUGUAAACCUCUGUUACCUAAGGAGGAAGAUCUGACGUUACUUAGGAGACGAAGCAUCGGCUAACUCCGUGCCAGCCGCCGCGGUAAUAC